rnacentral:rRNA from 1 species
CUGGGAUAACACCUGGAAACAGAUGCUAAUACCGGAUAACAACACUAGACGCAUGUCUAGAGUUUGAAAGAUGGUUCUGCUAUCACUCUUGGAUGGACCUGCGGUGCAUUAGCUAGUUGGUAAGGUAACGGCUUACCAAGGCAAUGAUGCAUAGCCGAGUUGAGAGACUGAUCGGCCACAUUGGGACUGAGACACGGCCCAAACUCCUACGGGAGGCAGCAGUAGGGAAUCUUCCACAAUGGACGAAAGUCUGAUGGAGCAACGCCGCGUGAGUGAAGAAGGGUUUCGGCUCGUAAAGCUCUGUUGGUAGUGAAGAAAGAUAGAGGUAGUAACUGGCCUUUAUUUGACGGUAAUUACUUAGAAAGUCACGGCUAACUACGUGCCAGCAGCCGCGGUAAUACGUAGGUGGCAAGCGUUGUCCGGAUUUAUUGGGCGUAAAGCGAGUGCAGGCGGUUCAAUAAGUCUGAUGUGAAAGCCUUCGGCUCAACCGGAGAAUUGCAUCAGAAACUGUUGAACUUGAGUGCAGAAGAGGAGAGUGGAACUCCAUGUGUAGCGGUGGAAUGCGUAGAUAUAUGGAAGAACACCAGUGGCGAAGGCGGCUCUCUGGUCUGCAACUGACGCUGAGGCUCGAAAGCAUGGGUAGCGAACAGGAUUAGAUACCCUGGUAGUCCAUGCCGUAGAC